rnacentral:misc_RNA from 1 species
GAUGAAGAACGUAGCGAAAUGCGAAAAGUAAUGUGAAUUGCAGAAUUCAGUGAAUCAUCGAAUCUUUGAACGCACAUUGCGCCCGCCAGUAUUCUGGCGGGCAUGCCUGUCUGAGCGUCAUUUCAACCCUCAUGCCCCUAGGGCGUGGUGUUGGGGAUCGGCCAGCGCCCGCGAGGGACGGCCGGCCCCUAAAUCUAGUGGCGGACCCGUCGUGGCCUCCCCUGCGAAGUAGUGAUAUUCCGCAUAGGAGAGCGACGAGCCCCUGCCGUUAAACCCCCAACUUUCUAAGGUUGACCUCAGAUCAGGUAGGAAUACCCGCUGAACUUAAGCAUAUCAAUAAGCGGAGGA